rnacentral:lncRNA from 1 species
AGCACCCAUGUCAAAGGUAAUUUGAACAGCAUCAAAGAAGUAAUGGAGAGCAGCAGAAACACCAUCUGUAAUUCAUCCUGAAUAAGAAAACCCUGCAUUUUUGUAGUAGUUUGAUUCCCAUUAAUAGGCUAUAUUCAUUAUUUAAUUACAUGCAUUAAAACAGGUAAGUCUGGGUUAGAGCAAAAAUUCUUUCCAACUGCUCAUUCAUAUUCAGGCAAAGAUAACAGUAUGCAGCAACACUUCUCACUUCACACAGGAAAAUGAAAUAAUGACCUCUUUUUUUCUCACCUCUUAACCUCUAUAGAUGGGAAGACUGUAGGGGUCAAAAUAAAGAGCUGAAAUUGGGUUUGGAGUGGUGAAGAGUGACAGCUGCCCACCCCCCCACCUGCUAGGAGAUGGAAAUGUGCAAGACAGAAACAAAGACCUGUACUCUGAGCAACACUGGGAGGUGAUCCCCAGGGGAGUUAGACUGACAAAGUUAUGACCUAAUUAAAGAACAUCUCCUACACGUUGUCAUUGUUCCUGCAAGUCUAAGACAAAAUACUUCUUUCCAUAAUGUCCGUAUGAAGACUGGAGACAAGUUAAAAUUGUUCAGCUACCUGUUCAUGGAAUUUGAGUCAAAAUGCAUUGAAAUGGAUGCUUCAUUUCCCUUUCAGCAGCUGCUUCUGGAACAAAACCUGCCUUUGACUUAA